UUUGGCUAUGAUUUUGGUACAAAUCUUGUUUGAUUUGGAGUUUAUAUAAAGGAGAUAUAGGCACUCAAAGUUAAGGUGUUGAUUUAGGAGCUAUUAUCACAAUUUUUGAUAUAACGCAUGUAUACAGAAGGCAAUUGAGGAUCGGCAACCACAACUAAAGAAAAAACUUUUGUGGCUACACUUUUUGCAUAUUUUCUAUUAGAUUCCAAGUUGGAA
rnacentral:lncRNA from 1 species